rnacentral:rRNA from 1 species
UACGGAGGGAGCUAGCGUUGUUCGGAUAUACUGGGCGUAAAGCGCACGUAGGCGGCUUUUUAAGUCAGAGGUGAAAGCCCGGAGCUCAACUCCGGAAUUGCCUUUGAGACUGGAAGGCUUGAAUCACGGAGAGGUGGGUGGAAUUCCGAGUGUAGAGGUGAAAUUCGUAGAUAUUCGGAAGAACACCAGUGGCGAAGGCGGCCCACUGGACGUGUAUUGACGCUGAGGUGCGAAAGCGUGGGGAGCAAACAGG